rnacentral:rRNA from 1 species
GCGGGACACGUGGUAUCCUGUCUGAAUAUGGGGGGACCAUCCUCCAAGGCUAAAUACUCCUGACUGACCGAUAGUGAACCAGUACCGUGAGGGAAAGGCGAAAAGAACCCCGGCGAGGGGAGUGAAAAAGAACCUGAAACCGUGUACGUACAAGCAGUGGGAGCCUCUUAAUGGGGUGACUGCGUACCUUUUGUAUAAUGGGUCAGCGACUUAUAUUCUGUAGCAAGGUUAACCGAAUAGGGGAGCCGAAGGGAAACCGAGUCUUAACUGGGCGUUAAGUUGCAGGGUAUAGACCCGAAACCCGGUGAUCUAGCCAUGGGCAGGUUGAAGGUUGGGUAACACUAACUGGAGGACCGAACCGACUAAUGUUGAAAAAUUAGCGGAUGACUUGUGGCUGGGGGUGAAAGGCCAAUCAAACCGGGAGAUAGCUGGUUCUCCCCGAAAGCUAUUUAGGUAGCGCCUCGUGAAUUCAUCUCCGGGGGUAGAGCACUGUUUCGGCAAGGGGGUCAUCCCGACUUACCAACCCGAUGCAAACUGCGAAUACCGGAGAAUGUUAUCACGGGAGACACACGGCGGGUGCUAACGUCCGUCGUGAAGAGGGAAACAACCCAGACCGCCAGCUAAGGUCCCAAAGUCAUGGUUAAGUGGGAAACGAUGUGGGAAGGCCCAGACAGCCAGGAUGUUGGCUUAGAAGCAGCCAUCAUUUAAAGAAAGCGUAAUAGCUCACUGGUCGAGUCGGCCUGCGCGGAAGAUGUAACGGGGCUAAACCAUGCACCGAAGCUGCGGCAGCGACACUAUGUGUUGUUGGGUAGGGGAGCGUUCUGUAAGCCUGUGAAGGUGGCCUGUGAGGGUUGCUGGAGGUAUCAGAAGUGCGAAUGCUGACAUAAGUAACGAUAAAGCGGGUGAAAAGCCCGCUCGCCGGAAGACCAAGGGUUCCUGUCCAACGUUAAUCGGGGCAGGGUGAGUCGACCCCUAAGGCGAGGCCGAAAGGCGUAGUCGAUGGGAAACAGGUUAAUAUUCCUGUACUUGGUGUUACUGCGAAGGGGGGACGGAGAAGGCUAUGUUGGCCGGGCGACGGUUGUCCCGGUUUAAGCGUGUAGGCUGGUUUUCCAGGCAAAUCCGGAAAACCAAGGCUGAGGCGUGAUGACGAGGCACUACGGUGCUGAAGCGACAAAUGCCCUGCUUCCAGGAAAAGCCUCUAAGCAUCAGGUAACAUCAAAUCGUACCCCAAACCGACACAGGUGGUCAGGUAGAGAAUACCAAGGCGCUUGAGAGAACUCGGGUGAAGGAACUAGGCAAAAUGGUGCCGUAACUUCGGGAGAAGGCACGCUGAUAUGUAGGUGAAGCGACUUGCUCGUGGAGCUGAAAUCAGUCGAAGAUACCAGCUGGCUGCAACUGUUUAUUAAAAACACAGCACUGUGCAAACACGAAAGUGGACGUAUACGGUGUGACGCCUGCCCGGUGCCGGAAGGUUAAUUGAUGGGGUUAGCGGUAACGCGAAGCUCUUGAUCGAAGCCCCGGUAAACGGCGGCCGUAACUAUAACGGUCCUAAGGUAGCGAAAUUCCUUGUCGGGUAAGUUCCGACCUGCACGAAUGGCGUAAUGAUGGCCAGGCUGUCUCCACCCGAGACUCAGUGAAAUUGAACUCGCUGUGAAGAUGCAGUGUACCCGCGGCAAGACGGAAAGACCCCGUGAACCUUUACUAUAGCUUGACACUGAACAUUGAGCCUUGAUGUGUAGGAUAGGUGGGAGGCUUUGAAGUGUGGACGCCAGUCUGCAUGGAGCCGACCUUGAAAUACCACCCUUUAAUGUUUGAUGUUCUAACGUUGGCCCGUAAUCCGGGUUGCGGACAGUGUCUGGUGGGUAGUUUGACUGGGGCGGUCUCCUCCUAAAGAGUAACGGAGGAGCACGAAGGUUGGCUAAUCCUGGUCGGACAUCAGGAGGUUAGUGCAAUGGCAUAAGCCAGCUUGACUGCGAGCGUGACGGCGCGAGCAGGUGCGAAAGCAGGUCAUAGUGAUCCGGUGGUUCUGAAUGGAAGGGCCAUCGCUCAACGGAUAAAAGGUACUCCGGGGAUAACAGGCUGAUACCGCCCAAGAGUUCAUAUCGACGGCGGUGUUUGGCACCUCGAUGUCGGCUCAUCACAUCCUGGGGCUGAAGUAGGUCCCAAGGGUAUGGCUGUUCGCCAUUUAAAGUGGUACGCGAGCUGGGUUUAGAACGUCGUGAGACAGUUCGGUCCCUAUCUGCCGUGGGCGCUGGAGAACUGAGGGGGGCUGCUCCUAGUACGAGAGGACCGGAGUGGACGCAUCACUGGUGUUCGGGUUGUCAUGCCAAUGGCACUGCCCGGUAGCUAAAUGCGGAAGAGAUAAGUGCUGAAAGCAUCUAAGCACGAAACUUGCCCCGAGAUGAGUUCUCCCUGACUCCUUGAGAGUCCUGAAGGAACGUUGAAGACGACGACGUUGAUAGGCCGGGUGUGUAAGCGCAGCGAUGCGUUGAGCUAACCGGUACUAAUGAACCGUGAGGCUUAACCUUACAACGCCGAAG